AUUGAACGAUGGCGGCAGGCCUAACACAUGCAAGUCGAACGAGUGGCGGACGGGUGAGUAAUGUCUGGGAAACUGCCCGAUGGAGGGGGGUAACUACUGGAAACGGUAGCUAAUACCGCAUACCAUCGGAUGUGCCCAGAUGGGCUUAGCUAGUAGGUGGGGUAACGCCUCACCUAGGCGACGAUCCCUAGCUGGUCUGAGAGGAUGACCGUCCAGACUGGACCUGAGACACGGUCCAUCAUCCGACGGGAGGCAGCAGUGGGGAAUAUUGCAAAAUAGGCUCAAUCCUGAUGCAGCCGUGCCGCGUGUAUGAAGAGGGCCUGCGGGUUGUAAAGUACUUUCAGGGAGGAGGCGUUACGCGCAGAAGAAGCGACGGGUAACUCCGUGCCAGCCGCCGCGGUAAUAC
rnacentral:rRNA from 1 species